rnacentral:lncRNA from 1 species
CCGGCCAUAGCAAGAACAAAGGGAGAAAAGAAAGAACAAGAACCCUAGGGUGAAAAUUCAAGAGAAAAAUUAGUGGAUUUCAAGUAAUCAAGCAAUCAAAGGUAAAAUUUCUUGAUUUUGACUUGUGAUCUACCUUUCCCAUGCAUUAUUUUGCAUUUUCCAUGGUUGAAUCACAAGAUAUCAUGGUGAAUUCAUGGCUAGCCGAAUGGGUAUGGAGAGAGAAUGAUGUUGGAUUGAUUUGAUUUCAAGUUAUGUUAGUGUUUUUAGUUAGUUUACCAUGUUUAGAAGCAAAACAACAAGAAAAGGAUUCAUUUUUCCCAUCACCCAUCAAUGGCCGAACCUACCUUGUAUUGAGUGAGGAUGAAAUUGAUUUUUCAUUUUAAGAGAAUUAGUUAGAAAAUGAUGAAUUAUGGUGUGGAAAAGUAGUAGGAAAAAUCACGGUGUUAAUGCACCAUUAUUGACCGAAAAUUCUAAGAAGAAAAGUGAAGAUGGUUUUGCCAAAUUUUAGGUUAUUUGACUUGUGUUUGGUGAAUUAAGGUAUUGGAAAAGAAAUGGAGCAAUUUGGAGCUAAAUUGGACGCGUUGACCAAUUAAUCGGGUGAUAAGAUGAAUUAGGCCAAUACUGGGUUUAGAUGGUUACCCGUGCAUUUUGCAUUCCAUAUCAUGCAUUAAUAGUUUAAAUUAGUUUAAUUUCGAUUUAGUACCAAUGUAGUAAGUUUAUCGAUUUUGUACUAUGUCAAGGUGGUGAGUCCUCCGAUAAAGGCAAGGAAAUUGCAUUCGAGGACCAGUAGUUAGAGUACUUCAAAAAUUCGCACUCUAGACAUUGUGAGUAACCUUACUAUCGUCUUAAUUAUUUAGAGUGGUUUUUAUCCAAUUUUGUGAUUUUAUGGAAAAUGAGUUUAAAUGGUAAAUUUUUAGGUUUUAUAAACAAAAAUGUGUUUAAAUAAAAUGAUUUCAUAAAAUUGUUCUGAAAUUGAAUGAUGGCUUCGCAAAUAGAGUAAAUGGAGACCAUUUGAUGUAUUGUGAAUUUAUGGUUCUAAUUGAUUGGCUUAUGACAAUAUUGGCAUGAAUGGUUGAAUUGGUAUUUGUGUUGAAAUGUAUAAGCUAUUGUUUGCCUUGAUAGGCUGAAUAAUGAUAAAAUUGCCAUAUCAUACUUGCAAAUUUUAUUGUAUGGUGGGUUUAGCUUGCUGCAGUGGGCUGAUUCUGUGGACCAACCUAUUAGAGGGGCACGGAACUUGGUCAUAUAUAUGUACCUCGAUUGGAGAGGUGCGUAGGGUAACUCCCGAGGUCAAACUUUAGAGUUCACUUCACGCCCAACCACCAUGCGAGGGGAACUCGGCUAACGUCAAGGAACGGCUAUGUUAUCAAAAUAAAAACAUGAUUUAUGCGUACAUAACUUCUUAACAGCCUUGGCGGACUCGGUUGGGAUAGCCCUCGAUCAAGGCAUCCCUGAUAACUGGGUAUGAGAAUGAUUUUGGCACUAGCCAAAGCUUUUAAGAAAUUCAUAAGCCAUGUUGAUUACUUGAUUUAUAUGAAUUGAUUUUAUUUGGUUGAAACAAGUUGAAAGGUGAUGAAUUUCAAUAUGUUAAACUGUUUUAUCUGUCUCCAUUUACUCGGCUUUAGAUAUUUUAGAUGGUAUUUGUUUACUCACUGGGAUAUUAUAAUCUUACCACCCUCUUUUCCACCCAUUUCAGGCUCAGGAUAGUCGGUAGAUAGCUCAUUUCGUUGAGGGCUACAGUUGGACUUGCAUUCUUAAAAGCUGUAGGUUUACCUCUUUUAAUACUUUUGGUUGUUUGUGGGCCCACUUGUUACUGUAAAUUAAAUUAAAUACUCCGACUUACUGUAUUACGAUAUAUAUGAAUUUAUUUUGCUUUUACGCUGCAAAAAAUUAUUUAUGCAGUGUUCUAAAAAUAUUGUUUUAUGAG